rnacentral:lncRNA from 1 species
CUCUUUUGUUUUUACACCUACAUGGCAUCCGUUAGCCUGUUAUAGAAAAGAGCAGAACAUCUGAACUGUACAUUCAGACCACAGUCCUACUGUACCUACCUACAGAUCAUGGAAAAUCUGUUAACUUAGUAUUUCUCCAGCAGGGUUUCUCAAGGAGAAAGCAUCAAUUUUUAAGUAAAAAUAAUAAAACAAAAACCGAGUCAAGACCGAGAUCAGGAGGGGGAUGAGAAGUCCGAGACCGUGUCAAGACCGAGACCAGGAGGGGGAUGAGAAGUCCGAGACCGUGUCAAGACCGAGACCAGGAGGGGGAUGAGAAGUCCGAGACCGUGUCAAGACCGAGACCAGGAGGGGGAUGAGAAGUCCGAGACCGUGUCAAGACCGAGACCAGGAGGGGGAUGAGAAGUCCGAGACCGUGUCAAGACCGAGACCAGGAGGGGGAUGAGAAGUCCGAGACCGUGUCAAGACCGAGACCAGAAAAAUGCAAGUCCAAUUCAAGACCAUGACUGUAAUUUUGUCAAAUCGUCACCAUAAGAGUUAAAAAUGUCCAGUAUUUCUGUGUUCAUAUUUCAGAAGAACAUUUGGAUUCUUUGGACAUUCAGAAUGGUGAAAAAAAGGCAUGCUGAUGGUAAAUAGAGCCACUCUAUAAAUGUUUACUAACCCAAACACAGUGGGGAACAAUGAGGGCCUUUACGUUUUCAUCGAAAGGCCAAGGAUUUAUAAAAUAAUAAUAAUAAUAAUAAUAAUAAUAAUUAUAUUAUGUUCUGAUUUAAUAUCUUCAGUUUUUGUUAGAAAGGAAAAAGUUAACACUGAAGAGAAAAAAAGAUCCAAUCAGAAUGUUUCUUUGGUGGUCUCUUGGGAGAUGCAUCUAACUAGCCAAGUCAGCCGUUGGCUAGGCCAUCAGAAGCUUGCUAGAAGGCAUUUGCCAUUCAACUGUAUUAGGGCACAAUUUUGGAGUGACAGUGGAAUCAACCAAUCACAUUGACUUGUAAUGGCCAACAGGUUGAAGGCCAACGGGUCACUGUGCAAUAGUGAGCAGUAGUUUUCCCACAGUCUAGCUAGCUUUUGAUGUAGGCUAGUUUGCAGCAGCUGCAGCAGGUGUUAUCAAUGAGGAUGUUCUUGCUAUUUUGUUAGAUUCUCCCUUUUCAAGAAUAACUUACAACAUGAAGUUACGUUUCAAAUGAUCGGAGUGGAACUUUGUUUGUUACUGCAGCUCGCAUGCUAUCUCUUUGAAAAUCCAUCUCUUUGAAAAUAACUUGUGUGAAACAUUGUUGCAUUUAAUCUUUAGAUCACUGGUUACUUUGCGUGUAAUAGCUGUACAUUUCGAUUGGGAAAAUGCUUAGCCUAAUGAUUGUGUUUUUGUAUUCUUAUGAUUGGGACCUACUGGCUUAUGUCCGAGUGAAUGGACUGCUGUCUUUCCAUCGGCCCUAUGCACCGGUGUAGCGGUCCCUGGAGAAGUGGGUCCUGUGUGAAGGAAAGGCACCCUUGCAAAAAAGCCUAUGUUUUCCUAUAGCUUUUUCAGAUUUUCACUCACAAUUACACUUUUUAAUUAAAAAAAAUAUUGAAAAAAAAUGUGAUGUUCUAAGUCCAUAACAAUGUUAAACUACAUCAGACCAUUUUAGAGGUCUGGGAAAAAUAAAAAUAAAUAUAUUUUUGGUGGUUGCAGUUAUUUUUCAAUGAAUGUAAAGGACAGUAAUGUUAAGAGUAAAGCAGGAAUCCCAGGUUUUAAUAGGCGAUAAGAUAUUUAUGUUUCAAGAAAUGAGUGUAGCCUAUAUAUUCGGCCUGGCGAAGCGCUUUUAUGCACUGACUGAAUGGAAGCUGAUAAUUAUGAGUUUUUUUACUCCGCUGGUCUCAGGAAGAAAUUAUGAGUCAAGACCAAGUAAAAAUGUAUCAGACUCCAAGACAAGACUGAGACACUCAAUAUGUGGUCUCGAGACCAGACAACACUGACAUAUGGACAAGUGAAUAUAAAAUGUACAAAAACAUCUUGUGCUGCCAAGUUCCUUUAGAGUUUUUCGUUCUUAGUUAGUUAUUUAUGCUUCAUGUUUCCUGUGGUCGGCUGUACAAAGCUGGCCAAAAAUCUGC